rnacentral:rRNA from 1 species
UACGUAGGGGGCAAGCGUUGUCCGGAAUCAUUGGGCGUAAAGCGCGUGUAGGCGGCCCGGUAAGUCCGCUGUAAAAGUCCAGGGCUCAACCCUGGAAGGCCGGUGGAUACUGUCGGGCUCGAGUCCGGAAGAGGCGAGUGGAAUUCCUGGUGUAGCGGUGAAAUGCGUAGAUAUCAAGAGGAACACCUGAGGUGAAGACGGGUUGCUAGGCUGACACUGACGCUGAGGCGCGAAAGCCAGGGGAGCAAACGGG